CAGCAGCCGCGGUAAUACGUAGGUGGCAAGCGUUGUCCGGAAUUAUUGGGCGUAAAGGGCUCGCAGGCGGUUUCUUAAGUCUGAUGUGAAAGCCCCCGGCUCAACCGGGGAGGGUCAUUGGGAACUGGGAAACUUGAGUGCAGAAGAGGAGAGUGGAAUUCCACGUGUAGCGGUGAAAUGCGUAGAGAUGUGGAGGAACACCAGUGGCGAAGGCGACUCUCUGGUCUGUAACUGACGCUGAGGAGCGAAAGCGUGGGGAGCGAACAGGAUUAGAUACCCCAGUAGUCCCUGUCUCUUAUAU
rnacentral:rRNA from 1 species